UACGUAGGGUGCGAGCGUUAAUCGGAAUUACUGGGCGUAAAGCGUGCGCAGGCGGUUUUGUAAGCCAGAUGUGAAAUCCCCGGGCUUAACCUGGGAAUGGCAUUUGGGACUGCAAGGCUUGAGUGCGGCAGAGGAGACUGGAAUUCCUGGUGUAGCAGUGAAAUGCGUAGAUAUCAGGAGGAACACCGAUGGCGAAGGCAGGUCUCUGGGCUGACACUGACGCUCAUGCACGAAAGCGUGGGGAGCAA
rnacentral:rRNA from 1 species